rnacentral:rRNA from 1 species
GACGAACGCUGGCGGCGUGCUUAACACAUGCAAGUCGAACGGAAAGGCCCUGCUUUUGUGGGGUGCUCGAGUGGCGAACGGGUGAGUAACACGUGAGUAACCUGCCCUUGACUUUGGGAUAACUUCAGGAAACUGGGGCUAAUACCGGAUAGGAGCUCCUGCUGCAUGGUGGGGGUUGGAAAGUUUCGGCGGUUGGGGAUGGACUCGCGGCUUAUCAGCUUGUUGGUGUGGUAGUGGCUUACCAAGGCUUUGACGGGUAGCCGGCCUGAGCGGGUGACCUGCCACAUUGGGACUGAGAUACGGCCCAGACUCCUACGGGAGGCAGCAGUGGGGAAUAGUGCACAAGGGGCGGAAGCCUGAUGCAGCCACGCCGCGUGCGGGAUGACGGCCUUCGGUUUGUAAACCGCUUUCGCCUGUGACGAAGCGUGAGUGACGGUAAUGGGUAAAGAAGCACCGGCUAACUACGUG